UUUUUUGGGGCAAGAAGCAUGAAACAGUGGGAACUUUGGGGGUGGGAACUCCAGAGGGUUCGGUGAAGGAGGAGUACAGUCACUGGGAGACAAAAUGGAGAGUGGGUAAAAUUUCUGUGCCACCGACUGGGAAAGUCCCCCAAUAUCCCCAGGACUUUGGCAUUUGAAUGAUUUCACAUUUCAGAUAAGGGAAAAAGUCUCAGCCUGUUCCUGUGAACCCCCCCGCCUCCAGGUCACCUUCUGCAUUCACCACCUGAUUUGCAAAUGGCUUUUGACCAAUUUUCCCCUGGUAGAUUACUUCUCACUAUUACUCUUCUGCGUUGCUGCAGUACUCACCAAUGCCAUGCUGAGAGCACCCAGCUCUGACUGUGGGAAAUGAGAGGCGAAGCUCAAGCUUCACAAAGUCGAUUUCUGUCUGCACAGGUCAGCUAUGCUGCAGCAUGGUUUUUUGAAAAGCUGCAGAUGCCCUGACAUCAAGGGAGCUGUUGUUCAUGUGCAGCACCCACUGAACAGACUGCAGCUCAACAGCAGCUUCAUUCUGGUGCUGGAUUGAGGCGGGUGGCUGCAUUGCAAUGCCAACAACACAGCUGAAGUUGGGGGCACGUAGGCGGCACUGGGAAGCCAGCAUACGGUUCAGAGACAGUGGUGGCUCUACUCACCAAAAGGGCUUGGUGGCUGCCAAGUUAGUCCUGACAUCCUUCAAACUCCAAAACAGAAAGAAGAGAGGAAGAAACAAGAAGGCACUUUCAACCAGAGACUGCACCAAUACAACAGAGGAGGCUGUUUGAGGUCUAGUAGCCCUCAAAUCUCAUCUCUUUUACUUUCACAUCUGAGAAGAAGUAAAGAAGUGGCUCUCAGUAUGACCAGUGCUUUGUGAGUAUGCAAGAGAUGGAAAAUAGUGAGUGCUAAAGAGACUGGAGUCAUUAUGGCAGCAGUGUAUGAGAACAGGGCCAGGCC
ensembl:lncRNA